rnacentral:rRNA from 1 species
CCUACGGGAGGCAGCAGUGAGGAAUAUUGGUCAAUGGCCGAGAGGCUGAACCAGCCAAGUCGCGUGAGGGAAGACGGCCCUACGGGUUGUAAACCUCUUUUGUCGGGGAGCAAAGCGAACCACGUGUGGUUCAUUGAGAGUACCCGGAGAAAAAGCAUCGGCUAACUCCGUGCCAGCAGCCGCGGUAAUACGGAGGAUUCGAGCGUUAUCCGGAUUUAUUGGGUUUAACGGGUGCGUAGGCGGAGCGUUAAGUCAGUGGGAAAAUUUAGGGGCUCAACCCCUUCCCGCACUUGCAACUGGCCUUCUUGAGGGGAAGAGAAGUAGGCGGAAUGCGUGGUGUAGCGGUGAAAUGCAUAGAUAUCACGCAGAACCCCGAUUGCGAAGGCAGCAUGCCGGCUUCCGACUGACGCUGAAGCACGAAAGCGUGGGGAUCGAACAGGAUUAGAUACCCGAGUAGUC